rnacentral:rRNA from 1 species
AGAGUUUGAUCAUGGCUCAGAAUCAACGCUGGCGGCGCGCCUAACGCAUGCAAGUCGCANGAGAAAGCGGGAGCAAUCCCGCAAGUACAGUGGCGNACGGGUGAGUAACACGUGGAUCAUNUGCCCNGGAGUGGGGAAUAANGNUGGGAAACCGGCGUUAAUACCGCAUAUUCCCGAGAGGGGAAAGCAGCAAUGCGCUCGAGGAGGAGUCCGCGCGCCGAUUAGUUAGUNGGCAGGGUAAAAGCCUACCAAGGCUAUGAUCNGUAGCCGGCCUGAGNGGGCACACGGCCACACUGGCACUGAAACACGGGCCAGACUCCUACGGGAGGCAGCAGUGGGGAAUCUUGCACAAUGGGGGAAACCCUGAUGCAGCGACGCCGCGUGAGCGAUGAAGCCCUUCGGGGUUUAAAUUUUGGGCCCCNGGCCCNAUU